CAACUAUCUGAGAAAUGCUUGGAAUCUUAUCUCAAAGAGAGGAUGGGGGCAAACUGAGAUUACAGUUUCUCAUUUAAGGGAUGACAUAAAUUCCCAGUACAAAUCUUUCCUGGAGUUAACAUUUCAGAACAGAUUUUAAUUUAGGUGCUCAUCAGGAUAUCAAUCCAAAAAGUAGAAAAAGAAGAGAGAGAAUUCCAGUAAAACCAACUCCUCAUAUAAAAUCCAAAUUAAAUCUGAAGGGGCAGGAAAAAAGUGCACAAAUCCAAUUAAGCAGUUGAUGCCAAAACCUGCGCUCCUGGCGAAAUGCAUCAUGCAGCACGUCAAGUUGCCAGCACCAUAGAGAAGAGGGAAGUGAAGGAUAGAUGGGCACAGGAGGAAGAAGCAGAGCUCAGACUUUCUUUGAUCUAUUCCAGGUGGAGCUUUUCUGACCCCAGGCAUAGCAGAUCAAAGAGAAGAGUCAGAAUGCAGAUCACUUGAGUAUUUCAUGAUCCUAAAAAAUAUUGCCACAAUAGUUUUCCAGUUUUUUUUAUUUUGAAAAUAUGCUCACUUUACAUAUAACCUGACAUUGGUUAUUACUGGAACCAGAUGAUCAAAAAUUAUUUAUCCCAUUAUUUUAUUCAUCCCCUUCAGGAAAGAGUUAUCUCUACAAUUUCUUACUUGUUGUAUAUGUACAAUUUAAAAUAAAGAGAAAAGAUA